rfam:Tupaia chinensis contig78036, whole genome shotgun sequence.
GUGCUCACUUCGGCAGCGCAUAUACUAAAAUUGGAACGAUACAGAGAAGAUUAGCAUGGCCCCUGCGCAAGGAUGACACACGAAUUUGUGAAGCGUUUCAUAUUUUU